rnacentral:rRNA from 1 species
AGAGUUUGAUCCUGGCUCAGGAUGAACGCUAGCGGCAGGCUUAAUACAUGCAAGUCGAGGGGCAGCAGGUCUGUAGCAAUACAGAUGCUGGCGACCGGCAAACGGGUGCGGAACACGUACAGAACCUUCCUUCGAGCGGGGAAUAGCCCAGAGAAAUUUGGAUUAAUACCCCAUAGUAUACUGAAGAGGCAUCUCUUUAGUAUUAAAGAUUUAUCACUUGAAGAUGGCUGUGCGGCUGAUUAGGUAGUUGGCGGGGUAAAGGCCCACCAAGCCUGCGAUCAGUAACUGGUGUGAGAGCACGACCAGUCACACGGGCACUGAGACACGGGCCCGACUCCUACGGGAGGCAGCAGUAAGGAAUAUUGGUCAAUGGACGAAAGUCUGAACCAGCCAUGCCGCGUGAAGGAUGAAGGUCCUCUGGAUUGUAAACUUCUUUUAUAUGGGACGAAAAAAGGGUUUUCUAACUCAACUGACGGUACCAUAUGAAUAAGCACCGGCUAACUCCGUGCCAGCAGCCGCGGUAAUACGGAGGGUGCAAGCGUUAUCCGGAUUCACUGGGUUUAAAGGGUGCGUAGGUGGGUUGGUAAGUCAGUGGUGAAAUCCCCGAGCUUAACUCGGGAACUGCCAUUGAUACUAUCAGUCUUGAAUACCGUGGAGGUCAGCAGAAUAUGUCAUGUAGCGGUGAAAUGCUUAGAUAUGACAUAGAAUACCAAUUGCGAAGGCAGCUGGCUACCCGAAUAUUGACACUGAGGCACGAAAGCGUGGGGAUCAAACAGGAUUAGAUACCCUGGUAGUCCACGCCCUAAACUAUGGAUACUCGACAUACGCGAUACACUGUGUGUGUCUGAGCGAAAGCAUUAAGUAUCCCACCUGGGAAGUACGACCGCAAGGUUGAAACUCAAAGGAAUUGGCGGGGGUCCGCACAAGCGGUGGAGCAUGUGGUUU